rnacentral:tRNA from 1 species
GCCUGGGUGGUGAAAUGGUAGACACGAGGGACUUAAAAUCCCUUGGCUUCACGGCCGUGUGGGUUCGACUCCCAUUCCGGGCA